rnacentral:rRNA from 1 species
UCAAGUGACUAAGAGCACAUGGCGGAUGUCUUGGCGUCAAGAGGCGAUGAAGGACGUGGGAACCUGCGAAAAGUUCAGGGGAGCCGGUAACCAGGCUGUGAUCCUGAAAUGUCCGAAUGGGGAAACCCGGCCGUAAGGUCACUCUUACCUGAAUGCAUAGGGUAAGAGAGCGAACCUGGGGAACUGAAACAUCUAAGUACCCAGAGGAAAGGAAAUCAACCGAGACUCCGUGAGUAGCGGCGAGCGAAAGCGGAUUGCGACUUAAGUCAGUGAACGCGUUGGAAAGCGCGGCCAAAGAAGGUGAUAGCCCUGUAGUUGGAUGAUGUCGCUCAGCCCUAGAGUAGCGUCGGUGUCGUGAAACCCGGCGUGAACAUGGGGGGUCCACCCUCCAAGGCUAAGUACUACUUGACGACCGAUAGUUAACCAGUAAGGCGACUGAAUGAUGAAAACUACCCCUGCUAGGGGUGUGAAAGAGUAGCUGAAACCAUGUGCUUACACAGCGGUCAGAGCCCUUCGGGGUGAUGGCGUGCCUUUUGCAUAAUGACCCGGCGAGUUACUCUCAUUGGCGAGGUUAAGGCCUAGCGGGCCGAAGCCGAAGCGAAAGCGAGUCUGAAAUAGGCGUUGAGUCGAUGGGAGUAGACGCGAAACCUUGUGAUCUACCCAUGGCCAGGUUGAAGUUUUGGUAACACAAAAUGGAGGACCGAACCAGUACACGUUGAAAAGUGUUUGGAUGAGCUGUGGGUAGGGGUGAAAGGCCAAUCAAACUGGGAAAUAGCUCGUACUCCCCGAAAUGCAUUUAGGUGCAGCGUCGUGGUAGAGUGUUAUAGAGGUAGAGCUACUGAUAGGGCUAGGGGGCUUCACCGCCUACCAAACCCUGACAAACUCCGAAUGCUAUAACAUAUACACGGCAGUGAGGGCAUGGGUGCUAAGGUCCAUGUCCGAGAGGGAAAGAACCCAGAUCAUCAGCUAAGGCCCCCAAAUGUAUACUAAGUUGUUUUAACGUUGUGCGAUUGCAUAGACAGCUAGGAUGUUGGCUUGGAAGCAGCCAUUCAUUUAAAGAGUGCGUAACAGCUCACUGGUCGAGCGACAGGGCAUCGAUGAUGAUCGGGCAUUAAGUAUACCACCGAAGCUAAGGCAGUAUUUAUACUGGGUAGGGGAGCAUUCUAUUCUGCUAUGAA